GGUUAAGCGACUAAGCGUACACGGUGGAUGCCCUGGCAGUCAGAGGCGAUGAAGGACGUGCUAAUCUGCGAUAAGCGUCGGUGAGGUGAUAUGAACCGUUAUAACCGGCGAUUUCCGAAUGGGGAAACCCAGUGUGUUUCGACACACUAUCAUUAACUGAAUCCAUAGGUUAAUGAGGCGAACCGGGGGAACUGAAACAUCUAAGUACCCCGAGGAAAAGAAAUCAACCGAGAUUCCCCCAGUAGCGGCGAGCGAACGGGGAGGAGCCCAGAGCCUGAAUCAGUGUGUGUGUUAGUGGAAGCGUCUGGAAAGGCGCGCGAUACAGGGUGACAGCCCCGUACACAAAAAUGCACAUAUUGUGAGCUCGAUGAGUAGGGCGGGACACGUGGUAUCCUGUCUGAAUAUGGGGGGACCAUCCUCCAAGGCUAAAUACUCCUGACUGACCGAUAGUGAACCAGUACCGUGAGGGAAAGGCGAAAAGAACCCCGGCGAGGGGAGUGAAAAAGAACCUGAAACCGUGUACGUACAAGCAGUGGGAGCCUCUUAAUGGGGUGACUGCGUACCUUUUGUAUAAUGGGUCAGCGACUUAUAUUCUGUAGCAAGGUUAACCGAAUAGGGGAGCCGAAGGGAAACCGAGUCUUAACUGGGCGUUAAGUUGCAGGGUAUAGACCCGAAACCCGGUGAUCUAGCCAUGGGCAGGUUGAAGGUUGGGUAACACUAACUGGAGGACCGAACCGACUAAUGUUGAAAAAUUAGCGGAUGACUUGUGGCUGGGGGUGAAAGGCCAAUCAAACCGGGAGAUAGCUGGUUCUCCCCGAAAGCUAUUUAGGUAGCGCCUCGUGAAUUCAUCUCCGGGGGUAGAGCACUGUUUCGGCAAGGGGGUCAUCCCGACUUACCAACCCGAUGCAAACUGCGAAUACCGGAGAAUGUUAUCACGGGAGACACACGGCGGGUGCUAACGUCCGUCGUGAAGAGGGAAACAACCCAGACCGCCAGCUAAGGUCCCAAAGUCAUGGUUAAGUGGGAAACGAUGUGGGAAGGCCCAGACAGCCAGGAUGUUGGCUUAGAAGCAGCCAUCAUUUAAAGAAAGCGUAAUAGCUCACUGGUCGAGUCGGCCUGCGCGGAAGAUGUAACGGGGCUAAACCAUGCACCGAAGCUGCGGCAGCGACGCUUAUGCGUUGUUGGGUAGGGGAGCGUUCUGUAAGCCUGUGAAGGUGUGCUGUGAGGCAUGCUGGAGGUAUCAGAAGUGCGAAUGCUGACAUAAGUAACGAUAAAGCGGGUGAAAAGCCCGCUCGCCGGAAGACCAAGGGUUCCUGUCCAACGUUAAUCGGGGCAGGGUGAGUCGACCCCUAAGGCGAGGCCGAAAGGCGU
rnacentral:rRNA from 1 species